rnacentral:rRNA from 1 species
GUGCCAGCCGCCGCGGUAAUACGGAGGGUGCAAGCGUUAAUCGGAAUUACUGGGCGUAAAGCGCGCGUAGGUGGUUUGAUAAGCGAGAUGUGAAAGCCCCGGGCUUAACCUGGGAACGGCAUUUCGAACUGUCAGGCUAGAGUGUGGUAGAGGGGUGUGGAAUUUCCUGUGUAGCGGUGAAAUGCGUAGAUAUAGGAAGGAACACCAGUGGCGAAGGCGGCACCCUGGACCAACACUGACACUGAGGUGCGAAAGCGUGGGGAGCAAACAGGAUUAGAAACCCGAGUAGUCCCGAAA